CAGUAGCCGCGGUAAUACGUAGGUGGCAAGCGUUGCCCGGAAUUAUUGGGCGUAAAGGGCUCGCAGGCGGUUUCUUAAGUCUGAUGUGAAAGCCCCCGGCUCAACCGGGGAGGGUCAUUGGAAACUGGGAAACUUGAGUGCAGAAAAGGAGAGUGGAAUUCCACGUGUAGCGGUGAAAUGCGUAGAGAUGUGGAGGAACACCAGUGGCGAAGGCGACUCUCUGGUCUGUAACUGACGCUGAGGAGCGAAAGCGUGGGGAGCGAACAGGAUUAGAUACCCCCGUAGUCCCUGUCUCUUAUAA
rnacentral:rRNA from 1 species